rnacentral:rRNA from 1 species
UACGAAGGGGGCUAGCGUUGUUCGGAAUCACUGGGCGUAAAGGGCGCGUAGGCGGCGGUUCAAGUCGGGGGUGAAAGCCUGUGGCUCAACCACAGAAUGGCCUUCGAUACUGGACGGCUCGAGACCGGAAGAGGUCAGUGGAACUGCGAGUGUAGAGGUGAAAUUCGUAGAUAUUCGCAAGAACACCAGUGGCGAAGGCGGCUCACUGGCCCGGUACUGACGCUGAGGUGCGAAAGCGUGGGGAGCAAACAGG